rnacentral:misc_RNA from 1 species
GUGAAUCAUCGAAUUUUUGAACGCAAAUUGCACUCCCUGGUAUUCCGGGGAGUAUGCCUGUUUGAGGGUCGUUAGGAUAAAAAUCGAUUCGUCGGUCUUUUUUUUUAGGGUGAUCGGGUCGGGAUUGAGCCGGCUUUCAAAAUUUUAUUCAUGGCAAAAUUGCUUUAAAUUCCUCCAACCGGGACGAUUGAAACCUAU